GACAGAGGGUGCAAACGUUGUUCGGAAUUACUGGGCGUAAAGCGUGUGUAGGCGGCCAUGCAAGUCGGAUGUGAAAGCCCUGGGCUCAACCCAGGAAGUGCACUCGAAACUGCGUGGCUUGAGUACUGGAGAGGUUGGUGGAAUUCUCGGUGUAGAGGUGAAAUUCGUAGAUAUCGAGAGGAACACCGGUGGCGAAGGCGGCCAACUGGACAGAUACUGACGCUGAGGUGCGAAAGCGUGGGGAGCAAACAGG
rnacentral:rRNA from 1 species